rnacentral:rRNA from 1 species
AAUCAACGCUGGCGGCGUGCCUCAGACAUGCAAGUCGAACGCGAAAGUCCCCUUCGGGGGACAAGUAGAGUGGCGCACGGGUGAGUAACACGUAGGUAAUCUACCUUUGGAUGGGGAAUAACAACCGGAAACGGUUGCUAAUACCGCAUAAUGCAGCGGCACCUAAUGGUGACAGUUGUUAAAGCGGGGGAUCGAAAGACCUCGCGUCUAAAGAGGAGCCUGCGGCGGAUUAGCUAGUUGGUAAGGAAUGGCUUACCAAGGCUACGAUCCGUAACCGGCCUGAGAGGGCGGUCGGUCACACUGACACUGACAUACGGGUCAGACUCCUACGGGAGGCAGCAGUCGGGAAUUUUGGGCAAUGGGCGAAAGCCUGACCCAGCAACGCCGCGUGAAGGAUGAAAUCCCUC